rnacentral:rRNA from 1 species
UACGUAGGAGGCGAGCGUUGUCCGGAAUCACUGGGCGUAAAGCGCGUGUAGGCGGAUGACUAAGUUUGCUGUGAAAGCGCCUGGCUUAACCGGGCGAGGUCGGCGAAAACUAGUCGUCUGGAGGCCGGUAGAGGGGGGUGGAAUUCCGGGUGUAGUGGUGAAAUGCGUAGAGAUCCGGAGGAACACCCGUGGCGAAGGCGGCCCCCUGGGCCGCGCCUGACGCUGAGACGCGAAAGCGCGGGGAGCGAACGGG